UUAUGAGUUUAUCUUUCCAAUAGAAGCUAAGGUGUCAUGCAUUUGCGAUUUAAAGUUUUAUUUAUUUACCUCAUGAAAAUAAUCUCUGCACAACGGCAGUCAGGAGUAUGUUCCGAAAAUUCGCUGGCUUCAGGAGGUCCAUUAGUGUGUUGUAAGAAUUAUCGACGUGUUGGAAACUCUUGCAGAGAAUGUUUUCCUGGAACAUUUGGAAUUGAUUGCAAAGAGGAUUGCCCUCAAAAUUUCUACGGCAGACUGUGCAAAGAAAAGUGUUUGUGCAAAGAUUGUGAUAAAGUCAAUGGAUGCUCAAGUAAGUAUAUCGCUUAGCAAAUGUGAAUAAUCUAACAUUUGAAAUAGUUUUAAUUGAUUGUUAUUGUCUAACCUUAUCCUUGUGAUCUUUAAAAUUGGAUUUUUUCAUCAUUCUGGUUAUUAU